AAAUAAUGCAUUUUUUUAUUGAUAUGUCAUAUUUGUACAUUUUUAUGGGGUACAUGUGGUAUUUGUUACAUGCACAGAAUGUGUAAUGAUCAAGUCAGGGUAUUUAGAGUAUCCAUCAUUCUAUGUGUUGGGAACAUUUCAAGUCCUCUCUUCUAGGUAUUUUGAAAUAUAUAGUACUUUGUUACUCUGGCGUCAAAUAUUACAAUUAAUUCCUUCUAUCUAACUGUCUGUAUUAACCAACCAACCUCUCUCUUUAUUCCUCCCCCACCCCCUACACACCCUUCCCUGCCUCUGGUAACUAUCAUUUUGCCCUCUACCUCCACGAGGUCAACUUUUUUAGCUCCCAGAUAUGAAUGAGAACAUGCAAUAUUUGUCUUCCUGUGCUUGGCUUAUUUCACGUAAUAUAAUAUCCUCCAGUUUCAUCUAUGUUGUUGCAAAUGACAAGAUUUCAUUCUAUAGCCAACUUAGAUUUCAUUAUGUAUUUGUAAACUAUUCAUCCAACAAGGGACAAAUAUCCAAAAUAUACAAGUAACUCAACAGCAAAAGAACUAAUAAUCCCAUUAAAAAGUGGGCAAAUAAUGCAUUUCUAAUGUAAGAAUUUUAUACCCUGCACACCUACCUUGGAGGGUGAUGGGGGAAAGCAGGGCUUCCCCACCUCUUCUAACCAGAAUGUGUAAUACUGCCUAUUCUGCCCACAGUGAAAGCAGGCCCUGUGAGCACACCAUUGCUCAUGCCCCAGGAGAAAAUUGAGCUAAGUCACAAAGAAAUGCAAUAGACCAAAUUCAUUUUUAAAUGUUCAUUUUUAAAAAUGUUCACCAAUGAUAAAAAUAAAUUCAAAUAUAAACAAUAUAUUUUAAUAGGGAAAAAAUUCAACCUUUUUGGAGGCAACUUAGCACUCUAUAUCCAAAAACCUUAAAGAACAAGACAGAAUAAACAACUAUGUGAGUGUGUGUGUGUGUGUGUGUGUGUGUGUGUGUGUGUAGCUGCAUGUACAUAUAUCCUUUGACAUAGCAAUUCAACUUCUGGGAAUUUUGGGUGAGUAGAGGCCAGAGGUGAUACUAAAUAUUCUACAAAGCACAGAACAGUCCCUCACAACAAAGAAUAAUAAGAAAAAUUCGAUCCAAAACAUCAAUAUUGCCUGGGCUGAGAAAAUCUGCACCAGAGCAUGUGAUCUCAGGGAAAGCAAAGAGGGAACACAAUGCCUUUUACAGUCUAGUUUUGGAAUCACACAUCGCUACUUCUGCUACAUUCUAUUCUUUAGAAAUAAGCCACUAAGCACAGCCCACACUCAAGAAAAGCAGAAUCAAGCUUCAUCUUUUGAAGGAAAGAGUAUCACAGAAUUUGUGAACAUAUUUUAAGACAAGACCAAUCUGUCCUCUAGCCACAAAUUACUUACAUUCUUUUCAUAUGUAAAAUAUACUUACCCCCACAGCCCCACCCUUACAAAAUCCUCCCAUAACCCCUUUACAGCAUCAGUUUGGAAUCCAGAAUGUUAGAAUCUGAAUCAGGCCCAGGUACAGAUGAAACUGCUUAGAUGUACUUCCUAAGUACAAUUAUUCUAAUGCAUUUCCUUUCAAUCUGAAGACAGAAAGGUAUAUGCCUAUCCCUCCCACCCCCACCCUCUGUAACAUCACCCAACAUAUAAUAGUAGAACAGACACAAUAUAAUCACCAUAUACAAUCAUAUUCCAAAAAUAGGAGAAAAAUAGAGGCAUACAGGAGUCACUGCUCCAUGGCAAUUCUGUAAAGCAGCCAAGGAAAUUGUAGAAGGUCCUCAAUUAGAACUUUGUUCAACUAGGAAUAAUUCUGCAUGGCCUUUGUUUCCACUUUCUUGGUUAUGUCCUCUGAGUCAUCUGUUCUAUAAUGGAAGCACAUAUGUGUAGCUGAGAAGUUCUCUCAGUCUGCUUUCUGCCAGUAGAACUAUGGAGAUCCAGAGGCCUCUUUUCAUUUCAUACUGUCUUUGUCCCUUUUAGUCCAAGCUGGCAGUUUUUAUUCCAAUACAAUUCUUUGAAAAACUUUACAGAUUUCCUGUGACUCUUAUUGGGUCCAUGCCAUUUUUCAAAAGCCAAAUCUACAAAUCAAUUCAAGAUAAGCCCUUCUCUACCAUGGGCUUCUGGUGAAGAACAACAUCUUCAGCUUCUUAGAAGCUUUAUUUGUUUGAUCAAAAGAAACUGUAGCACACCUAAGAAAAUUUUAGGGAGCCUUUUGUCUAGUUGAACAGUACGCUGAGGCAACACCUUUUAUCUUUCUGAGGUCUUAACAAAGGAUUUAACAGUUACAUCCUUACAUCCUUGGAGUCUUCUUUAGACCAUGUUUUCCUGGCAAUGUCCUGGAUUUUGUCUUUGCCCCAUAUCAUUCCUUAAUUUAAACAUUAUCUGCUAUCCAAGAGGCUAGACAUUUCGAAACCAUAAAAUCCUGGUUCCUCUUUUUAAGCUGUCCUGCUUUAGCUUAUCUAUUUCUUCUUGCAUUUUGCUGUAAGCAGCAAAUGAAAACCAGGCAGUAUCUUCAACAUUCUGUAUGAAAAUCUCCUUCGUUAGAUCAUCCAGCUCAUCAGCUGCCUUUUCUACAUUCCAUGUGGGCUAAACUUUUUGCUAUUUCAUAACAAGGAGACUGUUUCUCCCACUUUCCAAUAACAUUACCUCAUUUUCCUACAAGCUGUCACCUCCUCAAAGGCUUCUACUAACAGUGUUUUUAAGGCCCUUGAAGCUUUUACUAACAGUCUUCUCAAAAUUUUCCAGCUUCCACCCCACUACCCAGUUCUUCUCCCUCCCACACUUUAGGUUCUUGUUAUAGCAGCACUCCACUUCCAGGUAACAAAAUCUAUAUUAGUUACCUAUUACUGCUUAACAAAUAAAUCUUAAGCUUAAUGGCUUAAAACAACAAACAUUAUAGUGGUUUUUGUGAUUCAAGAAUUCAAGAGCAACUUUGUGGUUCUGGCUCAGGACCUCCCGUAAGACUACAGUCAGGAUGUCAGCAGGGGUUGCAGUCUCAUCUGAAGACUUACUAGGGACUGGAGGAUCCACUUCCUAGAUGGCUUGCCCCAUGGCUGCUAGAAGAAGGCUUUAGUUCCUUGCUAUGUGGGCCUCUCCAUAGACAACUUUAGUGUCCUCACAACAUGGCAGCUAGACACUCCCAGAGCAGAUGAUCCAAGUGAGAACAAGAAGGAAGCCACAAUUUCACCUGAUGUGAUUGGGACUCAGAAACCAAGCUAGCUGCAGGACUUUUUUUUUCGUACCCCAGUGAGGCAGAACUGUUCACUCUCCUGGAAAGAGGACUGAAGCCAGGGAGCCAAGUGGUCUCGCUCAGCAGGUCCCACUCCUAUGGAGCCCAGCAAGCUAAGAACCACUGGCUUAAAAUUCUCGCUGCCAGCACAGCAGUCUGAAGUCAACCUGGGACACUCAAGCUUGGUGGGGGUAGGGGCGUCCACCAUUACUGAGGCUUGAGUAGGUGGCUUUUCCCCUGACCAUGCUAAGGACUGGGUAGAACCAAACAAAGCAAAGCAAAGUGACUGUGGCCAGACUCCCUCACUAGAUUCCUCUUCACUGGGCAGGGCAUCUCUGAAAGAAAGACAGCAGCCCCAGUCAGGGGCUUAUAAAUAAAACUCCCAUCUCCCUGGGACAGAGCACCUGGGGGAAGGGGCAGCUGUGGGCGAGCUUCAGCGGACUUAAAUGUUCCUGCCUGCCUGCCUGCUAUGAAGACAGCAGUGGAUCCUGACAAGGAGGAUUCUCCCA
rnacentral:lncRNA from 10 species